UACAGAGGUCCCGAGCGUUGUUCGGAUUCACUGGGCGUAAAGGGUGCGUAGGUGGCGAGGUAAGUCGGAUGUGAAAGCUCGGAGCUCGACUCCGAAAUGGCAUUGGAAACUACCUUGCUCGAGGGUUGGAGGGGGGACUGGAAUACUUGGUGUAGCAGUGAAAUGCGUAGAUAUCAAGUGGAACACCAGUGGCGAAGGCGAGUCCCUGGACAACUCCUGACACUGAGGCACGAAAGCUAGGGGAGCAAACAGG
rnacentral:rRNA from 1 species